AUGCUGCUAGACAUUGGUCCCUGAGGAGUCAAGAGGGUGAUUCAGAGGAUGGAGAGGUGCUGUUUCCUGGGAAUGGGGGUGUCCUCUCAUCACCACAGCACCAUUGUCAGCUUACAAAACCCAUCUAGAUGCUGCACCCCAGUAUUUCCAGUCCCCCCAGUAAUGUCUUUUAUAUUAUUUUCCCUCCAGCACAGGAUGUGGUCUGGGAUCAGGUGUUGCACCUGCUUGUUGUGUGUCUGUCAUCUCUGUCAAUCAGGAACAUUUUCCACAGCCUUUCUGUCACUUUCAUGACAUUGAUGUUUUGAAGAACAGUGUCUUUUAAUAAGUAGACGUUUCCUCCUUUGGGGCGUGUCCAGGGACUCCUGUGAUAGGAUUCACUUGGGCACUCUUGGCUGGCGCCUGCCUGCAUGGGAUUGUGCUUCCUCAGGGCCUCACCUCACCAGGUGCGGAGCAACCCUCUGCCCCCACGUUGGGAUGUGAGGUUGCUGACUCAGUGCAGAGCUGUUUGGCUUCUCCCAACUUUGGUUACCACUCACGACUAAUAAACCAUCUGCAGGAAGCCCCUGGAAGACCAUGCGGAAAUCCUGCAUCUUGUGAUGUUUCCCCAGGACUUAGCCGUGUGAUGUUCUAAGGUGGUCUCUCACCAGCUCCUGGAGCUACUUCUGCAGAUCUCUUCCCAGCUCUGUGUUUAGUGACAUCAUGCGCAUCCCUGGAGUC
rnacentral:sRNA from 1 species